rnacentral:lncRNA from 1 species
UGGCAAUGAUUGAUCAACUACGAGACCAGCAGAAGGGGUUGGGGCACUGUUGAGCGGUGUUGAGACAGGAAUUGGCUCAGGUGCCACUGAAGUAGAACUGCUUCCAAGUGUUCUUCCUACUCCUUGAAAUGAAACAGGUUGCUGCUUUGCAGGUUCCUGCAAGUGUGACAAAAUACAUAUCCUUCCAAUUUAUACACCAGACAUGAGUGAUUCUAGACAAAAGUAAUAAGAAUCAUUCAUAAUCAAAAUACAAAACUUCAUAAGCUCCAAAACUAAUAAACAAAACCAACUAAUUUUAUCCUGGUUUGAUAGUCAAUUGUAUAGAGAUAAGCCGAAGAACUCAAACAGAAAACUUACAGGAUACUUCUCAUUCCUUCUUAUGAGAUUAACAUUAACGGAUGACCUCCUAUCGGCAGGCUCAAGUUCUUUCGGACACUCCGAUUUUUUUAUGCUCUGUAUUCAAACAUAGCAAAUAUCAUUACACAAAAAAACUGACGUAACCAAGAAAGUAAUGGUAGCCAAAAUAUAAAUAUUUAUCUGGGCCACUCUUACAUUGUCCUGUUAUCAGUGUUGUGAUUAUGAAACCUUACAGAAAAUUUAUAUAACAAAAUAUGCUGGAGGUUAUAGACACUUUAAAUAACAGAUUACAGUAAAUAAAGUUAUAAGCAAUUUUUUGAGAUAUUCCGUUAUUCCCUGGGUAAUGAUCAGAAUAUUUCAAUCUUCUAUUGCUGAGGACUUCUCUUGUCAAGUUAUAUGCAACCUCAUCACUUCCAAUAUUUUUUACCCUUCAAUUCAUUUUUGGAAUCUAAACUUUAAAUGAAGUUACCUCUAAAAACGAGGCAUUUUCAGGAUCAUCCAAACUCCUCAAUGGUCCAUCAUUUACAGUGAAACCAUUACUCCAGAAAACGAUGUUGUGAACAACAGCUUCUGGUUGCUGAGGAGCAGAUUGUACAGUUUCCCCCGAGAGUAACCUGCCAGUUCCAGUAAAGCUAGUUGACCUUGGAGGUUCCUGUAGUUGAUCGAGAGACCUUUCUACAGCUCCAAGUUGCCUUGCUUGAUUGAAAAUUGCAUCCACACCACUUCCCUUUGUGGGAUCUUGGACAAGCAUUCCACUGGAGAUAAAAUGCAAUUAAUAAUGAUCAAUAAAAAAGUACCAAAUCUAAAACCAACUGUAAGUAGACUUGCUUAUAUGUAAGUCUUAAUAAAUUAGCUACGUCACUAAACUGUAUGUGUACACUAAAUUUAAAAGCUCAACAAGCAUGACUACAGAAAUACCAAUCUUACAUAGUCAACAAGAGUACAUAACUUUUAAAGCCAACUUCUGAUAUACAAAAUUUAGAAAUUUAUAAAGGUAGUCAUAAGUGACUUUCACUAAAAAGAGCUAGGACUUCUAUAAAAGUAAAGUAUAUAAUUGAAUAUUUUACAUACUACAUAUGAAUUUCGUUAAAAAAUAUAGAUGAAUAGUCAUUCCUAAUUACAUAAACAAAGUCCAAAUCAAGCUACAUAGCCCGAUAAGUUCAAAUUUGAGAACACAAAAUAGCUUUAAACUAUCACAUGAACAAUGCUUUGAAGUGCUAAAAUAAAGCUUCACAGUUCUGGACAUCAAAAGGAUCCCACAAUAGAGAAGCAUGAAGAAAACCAGGAGAUAAAUAACACAUUGCUUUUUAGGUUUGUUCUAUUAUUCUUUAAAAAUUGGGCAUGAUAUGAAUGGGUUUUAAAAAGUCCAACAACUACAUCUAAAAAAGCAACCUAAGUUAAGCAAAACAGCUUGAAAUUAAAAGUUAUAUAAAAAGUGCUGCUCAAAAGAGUGAUUUUACCAGUUUUAAUGCCUUAAGCUAUGUUUUCAAAUGCUUUCACCAAAAAAUUGAUUCUGAGAACAAAAAACUAGAAGCACUUGAUAUAAGCAUUCUUUUAAAAAGAAUAACCUAAAAUCCGAUACUCUCUAAUUGAGCAGGAUUUUCUGUAAUACCAAGGCAUUAUGCAAUAAAGAAUGGACACUAUUUUCUGUAUUUGUAAGUGAACCUAAAGCUCCAUGAUGCAAUAAGAAAAAUAGGGCUAUGGAACCAACAAGGCCCAACACAGUUAGUAGAUAGCUAGGUUUCAUAAACAUUUUCAGAGAGAUCUCUAUGACUCGAAAGGAGUUAGUUCCCGCCUAUCGAAUGGGGGAGCCCAUGAUGUAUACAAAAUAAACAGGGGUUUGAGACGUCAUCAAUGCCACACAUCAAAACAGAAGAAUAAUGACACGAAAACAAGACAAGACAAAAUGAAGCAGACCAGCGCUAAUUGUAACUCUGAUCCAAAUAUGGGUGAGACUAUUGGCACUCUAAUUUGCCUAUUUACACUCUGUUCUAUCCAACCAUGAUUUGAUUUUUGAUUUUGAAGAUUUGAGUUUAGUUGAUGAUCAGUGUGGAUAGGCAAAUUAGUGUAGAUAGGCAAAAUGCAGUGUCAAUUGUCCUACUCUCAUAUAUAUACAUAAAUCAUACUAGAAUUUUAAAGAAAUCCAAACAUAUGUUCCAAUAAUCCAAUUCAUUUAUGAACAAAUUAACUCUCAUAAUCGCAGCAGCAAUAACUGGUAAGGUAAAAAAACAAUUUUUUGCAUAUAAAGAGAUAUACUUUUAUGCUAUAUCGUAACGAACCAAAAAUAAUAAAGAGGUAUCGAUUCAUAUAUUAUUUGGAUUUGUCUCCACAAUAUACCAUGUUUUGUUUAACUUAAUUGCAUUUAUCACAAUUUUUAUUUAAAAGAUUACACUUAUUUCUCAUGCAGGGGUGGUCAGUAUAACGAAAGUAUAAAAACUAGGGGAAAUUUGUGUAGGUAUAGAAAAGUGAGGAGUAAUUUGUGUAAUUUCACUGAAACUCAGGGAGUGUCGAUGUAAUUUACUUUAUUUUAUAAAAAUAGAUACUUGUUAGCAAUAUCAUCCAUUUAAAAGUCACAUGAAAUUGAUUGAAGAGUAAAUAAUUGAAGAUACCAAAAAAAGUGAAUGCAAUGUUUUAAAUGAUGAAGUAGUGAGUGUAAUUAAUUAUACACAUUAAUGAAACAUAUAAAUCAAACUUAUAAGUAUUUAAAUUCUUUUGAAUAGUUAAGGUGAGUUGCCCCUGACUAUGAAAAAAACAAGAGCCCUUUGCAGAAGGAUUCUUUUCGGGUAAAUAAAUCAAUGAUUACUACAAUGUACUUAAGAAAAGCCAAAAUAUAUGGCUAGGUAGCUACUAACAUUGUCAUAAGAGGCUUUUAGGAGGCAAACAGCUUUUAAGGGUGGUGUUAACUCAAUGUAAUCACUUUUUUAAAGAAAUAGUAGGAAGCUUAAUUUGGUGGAUUAGUAGAUUAAUAUUACUUUCCCAAAUUUGCCAUUGGUCAUGCUUGUAGAAAUCAUUAGGGUUUAGGCUUUGUAACCUUAUUUGUUAGGGUUUUUGCUAAUAGUCGUUAUAACCCACUCUCUAAUUUCACAUUUUAGAUAUUUUUCUCUGGAGACCCUUGUACCCAAAAACACUCUUGUUCUUGUACGUGUGCACUUUCAUUUGAUGGUUUAAUUUUCAAAUGCUAAAAAUGUAAGAGAUAUAAAGUUAGUUAAUUAUCAAAAUAAAAUAAUUGUCAAAUAAGUUUUGAAAGUUCAAAGGGAUUAUUCUGUUAGUUAUUCUAAGGAUUUAAUUGGUGGCCAAUAACAUUUUUUCAAGGAUUAAACUUUAUACUACAAACUGGCCAUUUUAAACUAUCAGAGAUUUAUUUGGUGGUUAUUUAAGAAAACAAAUAUAACAUUUUACCCCUGAUAAAACCCAUCUCUAUUUUUUUUUGAUACAUCUCUCACCCUAUAUUUUUUUUAUUAUAUUGAACAAAAAUAUCAGCAUUGAGGGUUUCACAACUUAUAUAUUAUAUGUGCAAAAACAAUAGGCUUCUCCAUCAAUAGGAGCUAUCCUAUUUUCUAUUAACUUAACAUAAUUUCACAUACAUGACACCUGUUGAUAAAAGAGAAUAAAUAAUCAUCAAGGAGUGGUGGGUCCAAGCUUCUCUUUGGAGUGGCAUAUUAUCUGUAUGCCACACAUGACACAGGGUGAAGCCCCACAUGUUAAUACUUAAUACCCUCCCCCUAUUUCUAUGAGCUAUAUAUAUCUUCUUAAGUUAAUUUAAUUUCACUUAGCAAACUAGAUGGAACCUUACAAGUUGAAAAGUUGGUCCAACAUAUAAUUGAUGGUUCUUCACUUGUCAUUGGCUCACAAUUUUCCAACAAAAAGCAAAUCUUGCUACUCUCAUUAACAUAUAUUUUUUUAGCUUUUUCCAUCAAAUGGAAUGGCACUAGCAUUGUGUCUUUUGGAACUUUUUUCUUCAAGAUAUUUUUAGGUGCCAUACAAGAUAAGAUAGUGGUGGUUAAUGGUUAUAACCUAUUAGAUAUUGUUCCAAGACACUAAGCUUUGUUUGUUCCAAUUGAAAUGCUAAUUUGUGUCUAGUUGGAGGGAAAGAAGCUGUUGGUGAUUUUGUUAACCAAUCUUAGAGGGGCUCGUAAUUGUUAGUGAGCUAAUAGUUAUAUGGAACAUCAUUUGUUGUCUAUGGCUACAAGUUUACAACAUGCUUGUCGGUGUUUGUUUUCCCAUCUUGUCUUCUAGCCCAUGUUAUGUCUUGUUAUGCCCAUAGGAAUGGAUGGGACUCAUUCCGUGCAUGAGUGAGAUAUAUAGCAUUAGUUCAUAUUUGUGCCUCUACCACAAAUGGACCAAGAUUGAAGCGGGUUACCAAGCAUGUAAUAUAGAGUGGUUUCUUUUAACACCAUUUUUUUUUCAUUUGCCAUCACUAGUGGAACAUGAUCAACUUUGAAGUUUAAUAUACACACUUUUGAUACACUAUGGGAGCUAGCCAUGCCCGAGGAGGGGGAUGCCGAAGGCAAGGCUAGUGACUGGAGUGAAGUCGUAACAAAGUAAUCGUACUAGAAGAUGCGGCUGGAUCACCUCCUUUUCAGGGAGAGCUAAUGCUUAUUGAGUAGUUUGAUUUGACACUGCUUCACAAAAAAAAAAAAAAAGCGAGCGCCGGAGUCAAAUUAAAAUAAAGAAGUUUUUUAAUGUAUGCUCUAAGAAUACUUUAGUGAGUAAACUCUUAAGAAAAAUCUAAAACCAUCACAUCCAAAAGUAUUAAACAAACCAUAUAUAAAUAAAUAAUAUUUAUAACAUGUGUCCUAUAGCACAUAUUGAAAAAUGAUAAAACGAAGGUGGUGGAAAAUGAAAUAAAAAUGUGUGUACUAAAAGAAACGAUCGGAAUAUAGUCCAGAUUGGUAAUUGUGAGUGGCGAGGAAACUUUAACAUAUACAAGUGACCAAAAGUUGAUUGAUUGGAUAGUUACUAAAUACUAAUAUACUAAUUCAGCUAACUUAUGGUUGAUAAUUACUAGAUACAUAUCCAAGAGAUUAUCUCCAUAUUUGUGUUGUAUCUCUAGUAAAGGGUUCAACAUACUAUAAGCAUAAAAAAAGGUUCAUAUAAAAUUUGAAGUUUUUGUAAACGAAAGGCCCUAAAUAAAACUGGUUUACUCCUGUAAUCCAAAAACAUAAACAAACCUGGUUUACUUUAAUAAAGCAUUUAGCUAGUAAUGAAAACUAAGCAGAAGUGUUUGUGCAGUUUUGCUAGAAUUUCUGGAUGACAACCGAAUUUGCUAGCCCUGCUUGCUCUAUAGUCUGAGUAUGAUCUGUUAAAACCUUUGGUGGGAAACUCAUGAUCUGAAGUUGAUAAUUACGUGGAGCCCCUGAUCUUGAUGCGUCAACAAAGCCACGGAUGUCGCUGACAGUGUGGUUAAGAUUGAAAUGUGAUAUCAAGCGGGUUCCAUCGGCUAACCUAAUUUGUAUUGAGGUUGAUGGCAAUGAUUGAUCAACUACGAGACCAGCAGAAGGGGUUGGGGCACUGUUGAGCGGUGUUGAGACAGGAAUUGGCUCAGGUGCCACUGAAGUAGAACUGCUUCCAAGUGUUCUUCCUACUCCUUGAAAUGAAACAGGUUGCUGCUUUGCAGGUUCCUGCAAGUGUGACAAAAUACAUAUCCUUCCAAUUUAUACACCAGACAUGAGUGAUUCUAGACAAAAGUAAUAAGAAUCAUUCAU